UCUUUUGAACUGUUGGUGCAAUAGACGAGGAGGCGCUGUCGCUUUCUGCUCCGGCCAAGGAACCGGUAAUGGAAUCUAGACUAACCCGCUGAAUCUCACUGCCAACAAACCCGACCAUCGACUGUUUAGGGAUGCGCAAAUACGACCCGAGAGAAGACUAGAAGCUGAUUUGACCAAUUACUGCGCAGUAUUAAAUGUGACGUCACAUCAUGUCAACAGUGGUUUUAUCUGGAUCAAAGAAUAGUUGGAUAACUUGAAAUAAAUGGAUAUAUAUGUAGAAUUAUGAAAUAA